ACCCAAGCAUAACGUCAAGGCAACAAGCAGGUUGCCCCGUGUUUUUUCUUGUGCUGCUGUGACCUGUAAUUAUUUCAAUGACAACCAAAGCUCUACUGCCCAAUAUCGCAUUUUUUAGGAUCAGUUUGACUUGAUAGAUGCGUUGUCUGUCUGUCUCCAAACGUUGAAGAAAAAUUGCAAGCUGUUUCUCCUUUGGGGCUCUGUCCAAGCCAGUGGCUAUCAGCCAGUGACUCACCAGUGUUGGUGCUGUAGGUGCGAACGGUGGUGUCAAUUGGAGGCGGUGAGCAGCCUGAGUCUAUGGAUGCUGUG